UCCAUGCCGUCGCCGCCGCCGCCGCCUUCUCCUCUUCCCCGUCCCUCACGGCCGCCUCGCCCCCUCCGCCUUCAGCGCCUCCUCCUCCUCCCCUUCCUCUCCUCCUUCCCUGCCUCUGGAUCCAGACCACGUGAUGCGGACGAUGCAGCGCCAUGGAUUAGUCCUGCUGCAAGAGGUGGCUGGAGAAGAUGAGAGGGAGAGAGAGAAGGAAGGAGCGGAGGGAGAAAGAGAGAGGAAAGAGUAGCUGGAGGUGCGUCGGCCGGCGUGCGCGCUGGCAAGGUUGGGCGGGACCUGGCGGUUGGCGGCGGCUCGAUCCACUCCUAAUCGGGAGCCGAGCCUGCAUCUCCGCCACUUCGCCUUGUUUCUCUCUCCACCGCCACCUCUCCUCACCUCUCCUUCCAAUGUCGGCCGCCGCCGCCCUCCCCGUACCUCCCCCUCAUGGCUCCUCUCUUUAUCACCGGCGCCAUGGCUGUGCUCGGAGGAGGACCGCCGAUGCCAGGUUGACGAGGAUGAUGAGGUAACUGUUGGCGAGGGCAAAGCGAAGUCGUCAGAUCCGUCACCACCGCUAUUCUCCUACUCACCACCGCCGCUGUUCUCCUACUCGCCGCCUCCGUCGUCCACAUGCUCCUCCUCACGACCAUGAAAAUUGGCUGAGGUCUAGCCUCCCAUCCAUACGCAGUUUUUCAGAUUAUGCAAGUAUAUGCUUGGUCUGCAUAUUAGUACCGGCUAGCAAGCACAGGAACGACGACUUGGAUCUAAUGACUUGAUAUUCCAAUCCACCGAGAAAUCAGUUUUGACUCAAAAUGAUGGUAAGGUGUCACCAAAAGUGCUUUCUAUUCUUCCCAUGCACCACACCGUACCAACAAAGGCAAAAUUUGUUUGUGUGAAAGCAUCUGAACCAUUGGCUUAUUUGUUUCUCUGGUGAAUAAAUUGUGUCUGAAUGCAGCAUGCCUGAACCAUGAGCAUUAUUUGUUUGUCCGCUAAGCAAAUUGUGUCUGGAUGCAGAAAGUGAAAGCAUCAGAUUGAGUGAUUCUUAUCAAUUCUUGCGUUGUAUGCCUGUGAGAGAGCUGGCAGGACGAACAAGGAAUUUUACAAAACGGUGCUCAGUGAGCUGGGCUCUCCUUCCACCAAUAUGAAUGCCUAGCCUCAAACUUGCCUUACUUUUUUUGGAAUUGCUCUUUUUAUCUGUUGGAUCAUUCUUUUGUUUGUAAGAAAUUUCUGCAUUUUAGUGUAACCUAAAUCUGCUCAUUCCAGUAUUUGUUGAUAUCAGUAGUGGAAUGUUGUCCUUUCCUCUCUCUCUCUUUCUCUCUCUCUCUCUCAUUAUUUCAGGUCAUUAGAUUCAUGCAUUACAGUUAACUGUUUUUAGUGGUGUCAUGGUUAUAUUGGGAAAAGGUGAAACUUUGCUUUCCUUUGGAAGUUUAGUUACAACAGGAGCGUGCAUUCUAUAUAUUAAAAAGUUUAAACACCCACCACUACAAUAUCUUCAUAAGAAUCUUUUUUCUACAGUUAGCACAAAGAAGAUGCUUCUGGCCUACUACAUGAACUCGUUCUUGCCGACUUUAUCCUCUGUUUAUUUGCUCCGCGAGGUUGUUUGUUGGUUCGUGGGACGUCUGUGUCGUUAACCAACAAGGUUUCCGAUUUCCUUUUGUUCUACAGGCGUUGUUAUCAUUACUUCCUCUCCCCUCGCUGGCUCAUCAUCUGCUUGCUAUCAAGCAGGAUUGAUUUUCAGAUAAUAUAGGAGUGGAUGGUUCUAUUCUUCGGUUUUGAAUGGCAUAACAUAAGGAGAGUAGCCUAUUGUAAAUUUCGCAUACUGAUCCAGAGUCAUCAAUCCUUUCGGAGGUGAUUCCGUCGCAAUCUUGGUUAAGUGUGUUCACUUUGCAGCAAUGUCAGCAUGGGAUCACAAUCACUUGAUCGAACAUAUAAAUCCAGCUAGAGUACCCGCCAUUCCAGCGCCCUUCCCGUCUCAAAUUCAUCCUGCCCGCUCGAUUCGCCUCGCUGGCCCUGGUAAAAGUACUUUUCAUCGACCUGGUAAAGAUCCAGUUGCUCAUUAUUUUGUAUGCCGCGUAAUGGGGCUAGGAGCAACUGAUGAGUGGGCCAGGCUUGCGCGCGGGCGUGCUUCUGUCGAUGAAAAGCAGGGCCGGAUCGCUCGUGUGCUGCGGCCAAUCGAUCGUGGGGUUGUUAGGGCGUUUUUUACCGUGUUCGUUUGCACCCAGUGGUGGCGCCUCCGCUUCAACCGCGUCUGGCCCCAUCUGUCAGUCUCGUGGGUGCGUGGCAGUUUGGUCGUCCUUGGUCAUGUGAGCACCUCCGCUCGGUCCGCUGGGUAAAACAGGGUUUUCGGCCUCUACGUGCUGCUAAGCGGGAUUGCUUGGCCUCGUCUCGCUGCAGGUGGUCCCUUUCUAUCCUUGGUCCCAUGCAUCGGGUGAGUUGUGUUUCUCUUUAGGUUUCCCUAGAAGUUACAGCGCCUGCGAGAGGUGUUUCUGACCGGGUGCGUGGUUUCCUUCUGCUCUGCUCUGCCUAUGUGCCUCGCCUCUCUGCCCACUUCCCCUCGCCUGCGCCUCCUUGUCUUCUCUCAUCCAGUCGCCAUUGUCGCUUGUCGUAGUUGGUCAUUGAUAACUAGCGGCUUGCUCGUUGCCUGCUUAUCCUGUCGUCGGCUUGUUUCGUCAUGGCUCCUCGCGCUGCUGCUGUUGCGUUUGGCUAGGGGCUGCUGCGUCUGCUUUGUUGUCUGCCUGCGCGUUUGCUUGUUCUUUCUUUGUGAGGUCUUCCUCUGCGAUGUCUGGCUGCCUGAUCGGCUAAUUUUGUCACUCCCAGUUUGCCAAGUUUCUGCUGUGGUUCAGUUCACGUGACGCCUUGCACCCUGCCUUUCUUCUUGCCAAGAUGACAGCAGUUAAACAAGAAGAAGCAGACACAACCAGUGAUAUCAGCGGUAGACAAAUUACCCAUGCCGAACCACUGUGUCGCAAGCACAAUAAGCCAUUCGAGUAUAUUCAUCGCCCACGCAAAGCAGGUUCAAUCCAAAAGUUCAAAGGCAAGAAAAUCCAACUAAAGCCUGGAAAGUACAUUCUCCGUGGUGAGCCUUGCAUCCACUACUUACAUGAGUUUAGUCGCCACAUUGUGGGCGCAACAUAGUUAAGCUCUACAACCAUAAUGUUUGUAGACUGUGAAAGAUCAUCCGCAGCACCACCAGAGACAUUUGCAACAAACGACAAAAGAAUGACGGGACUACCGCUGUCACAACCGCUUUAUCAAGGGUGUUUGACAAAAGAGCCACCAUUGGCUGGAGAACUUCUUCCCUCAGGCACACAUGAGCAAAGGGCAAGCAUAUGCUUUCGCCUUCAAAUGCACUUCCAAGGGACUGCGCCUGAUCGUCUACUCAAUAUAAGCAAGUUGCAAGAGCCGCUUGUUAUAUAACUUAAUGUUAGUAUAAAUGCCUACCAAGACUUUGUGUUUAUCAUCCUUUUAGAUCUUAUGUAAUCCCUUAAGACCAUCCUGCAUGUUUAACUAUCGGCUAUUUCUUGCUUAGACUGUUGUGUUGUAUGCUUUUAAAACAGCAAUGAUAAAAGAAAUAUAUGCUCACUCUCCCAAUACUUGACU